GGGUGCGGAUCUGAUCAUGUGUACCGGAGGGUUCUUCGUAAAGAAAAAUUGCCAGAUCAUUUUGAAGCUACUGUAGGAACUUGUGUUUGAUGCUGCUGGUAGUGGCGGUGAUCCGACCAGGUUGAAACGCUAUUGUCAAGGUUCGUUUUCAGGUAAACGCUGACGUGAUGUAUACAUUCUGGCUAAAUCCUACGGAAAAGUGUCUAUUGUAAAGCCACCUUCCAGUCGCAGUCGGCGAUAUAUAGUUUGUCAUAAUCCGUUGCAACAGGGAGACACCACAGACGAAUUUAUACAGACGUAAGAGUGCGGUGCAAACCACUUAAAAUUUUCGGUACCAUGUUUUCUUCUUCUUGUUGGGCAGAUUUUUUUCGAGGGGACUAGUUAUUACCAUUUUGCGGUUGUUUUAUACGCAUUGGUGUACCCCUUUCACAAGAUUUUGACAGUUUUUCGCCGCCUUCGCCGGCUUUCGCCCGUGCUUUCGUCGCACCAAAAAUUUUCUCGUUUUGUUUACUUUUCGAUGGUGCGCGGUCAAAUUGUACAUACCGGUUGUGAACAUUCCGGAAAAUUCGGUUCCUAGCCGGUGGUAUCACAAAGAAGCUAUUUCCGGGCUAUGGAAAAAGUGUACCCCGGCUGAAGGCGCUCUAAAAAACUAAUGAAAAAAGAACGAGUGCGACUGCAAAGCGAUCGAACCGAGCCGGGCUGUAUCGACCGUGCUCUGCUGGCGGAGUGCAAUCAGUAACUGAUUGUGUCACAGAAGGACAUCCGGCAUGGAGAGCUCGUGGUCGACAAAGAGAACUGAAAGCACGAAGUGCUCAGAAGGACGGGGACUACGGUGGAUUCCGAGCUGACAAUCGGUGCUUCAACAGGUUAGCGUUGCACAGUCAGUCGGGUUUUUGGAAUCAAGGACAUCAAAGCAGCUAGGAGCUAACCUUCUACUAUAAUUUCGGAAGCAAAGGUAACAAAAAGAGGAUCUGCCACUGUAAUGUGAGCAAAUAAUCCGGCUUUAUCGGGAAUUAUUACCUUCCUCCGCUGGAAGAUUCUUCAGUCACAUGUCGGGGCAAAAAAACAAAGGAUCGAAGCGUAAAAAAUCGCAGAAAAUCGUCUGGCAGCGGAAAACUGCCAUUGAAAGGGCUUCGAAGGAUGACACUACAAGAUAGUAAAAUCAGAUGGCGGAAAUCGGUGGUGGUGGAACCAGUGGUAGGUGAUGGCGUGAUGGGAUCACCGUUUAGCUCAAACCACCAGUAACAACGAAUGUGAUCUACGAGAGUGUGACUAUUGAGGUGAGCUUGGCUGCUACGGAGAAUACCCUAAAGGUGGACGAUUAUUCCGGGUUGAAAGAAAAACAUAAGCCCUGUUCAACGACGUAGGUUGAACUUGCUCGAAGUUGCUGCAUCCUACUCUUACCCAUUUGUCAACAAACGGGAAAGAGCGGGAUGGAGCAAGUUCGAGUAAGUUAAACCUACGUCGUCGAACAGGACUAUAGUCGCCGAACAAGAGUGGUAGCAAGCGGACAUGAAAGUUGUCCAUCGUUUUGAGUGGGAUUCAUCUCGUAUGGGAUAACCCGCGUAGGAGUGGUUUUUUUCAUUGUUUAAUCCUUUAACGACGUAAACAAAAUGAUGGAAUUUGGCAAAGCACAUAGACGAUCCGAAUCAGAUCGGGCUUUCUCUGGAUUACACACGGUAAGAUAUUCCGGAAAAGCUUAAUGUAAUUGAAUUUAUGUUCACGCUCCUGCUAUGCCUCUUUCCAGGAGUAUCGAAUAAAACUUCAAAAUUGCGAAAUUUACAUCGAAUUUAAUUUCAUUUACUCGAAAAAUUCAAUUGCGUACAAACGCGGUCGUAACUAAUCACUCGACCUCUGCGUAACCCGUCACUCGCAUUUGGCUAACUUUUCAGAGCUUUACAGUUGGUCUUCGGUAGGUCCCAGAAUAUGUCUUCACAUCAAUAACUCUCACGACGCCAUCAUCACACUGCUGAAUUAUACCCAUUGGCCAACUUCCUCGUUCGGUGAGCAUGUCGGUUACGUAAACGAUAUCUCCAGACUGUAACAUGGAUUGUUGGUCUGCCCACUUCUGCAUGGGAAUCAAACCAGGCAAGUAUUCCUUAAGCCAUCUGAUCCAAAACAAAUCGAUAAGUGCUUGAGUCUUCGGCAUUGCUUUCCCUAAUGGAGGUCAUGUUUAUCAAAUACUGAUUUGGGGUUAAAGUUUCAGGGUCGUUCACAUCCGUUGAAACAUACGUUAACGGUCUGCUGUUAACAAUAUGUUCAGCUUCAAGCAAUACAGUAUGCAAAACUUCUUGUCGUGGUACUCGUUCUUUAAGUUUAUCGUGAAGUGGACCGGAUGCUUCUAGUCAACCGCUCCCAUAUGGCUUGCUGUGGGAGGGUUGAGUUUCCAUUUGAUCCCUUGGAGCAAAACUUCAUUCUCAAUACAUAUCCAAAAAACUUGUAUGCUUCAAAGCCUCGCGUAACUCUUCAUCAGCUCCUCGCAGGUUCGUUCCAUUAUCAGAGCAUAUUUCUUUGGGUUUGCGUCGUCUUCCAAUCAUGGGGCGUAGAGCCAAGAUGCUCGAAUCUGUGGUUAAAGAAUGUGCCAUCUCGACUCGACGUAUAUGGCUCGAGUCGUCAUACACGUAAAUAUCACGCCAUACCGCUUCUCUCUGUA